rnacentral:rRNA from 1 species
UACAGAGGUCUCAAGCGUUGUUCGGAUUCAUUGGGCGUAAAGGGUGCGUAGGCGGCGCGGUAAGUCGGGUGUGAAAUCUCGGAGCUUAACUCCGAAACUGCAUUCGAUACUGCCGUGCUUGAGGACUGGAGAGGAGACUGGAAUUUACGGUGUAGCGGUGAAAUGCGCAGAUAUCAGGAGGAACACCGGUGGCGAAGGCGGGUCUCUGGGCCGGUACCGACGCUGAGGAGCGAAAGCGUGGGGAGCGAACAGG